rnacentral:rRNA from 1 species
AAGGUUAAACGGCCGCGGUAUUCUGACCGUGCAAAGGUAGCAUAAUCACUUGUUCCUUAAUUAGGGACUAGAAUGAACGGCAAGACGAGGGUUUAACUGUCUCUUAUUUCUUAUCAGUGAAAUUGACCUUCCCGUGAAGAGGCGGGAAUACUUAAAUAAGACGAGAAGACCCUAUGGAGCUUUAAUUUAUUAGCUUAUUUCUUAACAAUACUAAUCUAAUGAAUCAACAUUUGAAAAUUAAGUUAAUAAUUUCGGUUGGGGUGACCUCGGAGAAUAAAAUAACCUCCGAAAGAUUAUAGUUUAGACUGACAAGUCAAAAUAUAAACAUGUUAAUCAAAUUGACCCAAUCACUUGAUCAACGAACCAAGUUACCCUAGGGAUAACAGCGCUAUCUUAUUUGAGAGUUCAUAUCGAAAAUAGGGUUUACGACCUCGAUGUUGGAUCAGGAUAUCCCAA